rnacentral:rRNA from 1 species
AGUCAACAUGCCCAAAGGACGUGGAUAACCUCGGGAAACUGAGGAUAAACCGCGAUAGGCCAAGGUUUCUGGAAUGAGCCAUGACUUAAAUCUAUAUGGCCUUUGGAUUGGACUGCGGCCGAUCAGGCUGUUGGUGAGGUAAUGGCCCACCAAACCUGUUACCGGUACGGGCUUUGAGAGAAGGAGCCCGGAGAUGGGCACUGAGACAAGGGCCCAGGCCCUAUGGGGCGCAGCAGGCGCGAAACCUCUGCAAUAGGCGAAAGCCUGACAGGGUUACUCUGAGUGAUGCCCGCUAAGGGCAUCUUUUGGCACCUCUAAAAAUGGUGCAGAAUAAGGGGUGGGCAAGUCUGGUGUCAGCCGCCGCGGUAAUACCAGCACCCCGAGUGGUCGGGACGAUUAUUGGGCCUAAAGCAUCCGUAGCCGGUUCUGCAAGUCCUCCGUUAAAUCCACCUGCUCAACAGAUGGGCUGCGGAGGAUACCGCAGAGCUAGGAGGCGGGAGAGGCAAACGGUACUCGGUGGGUAGGGGUAAAAUCCAUUGAUCCACUGAAGACCACCAGUGGCGAAGGCGGUUUGCCAGAACGCGCUCGACGGUGAGGGAUGAAAGCUGGGGGAGCAAACCGGAUUAGAUACCCGGGUAGUCCCAGCUGUAAACGAUGCAGACUCGGUGAUGGGUUGGCUUCGAGCCAACCCAGUGCCGCAGGGAAGCCGUUAAGUCUGCCGCCUGGGGAGUACGGUCGCAAGACUGAAACUUAA